rnacentral:rRNA from 1 species
GGGUGAGUAACACGUGAGUAACCUGCCCUAGGCUUUGGGAUAACCCCGGGAAACCGGGGCUAAUACCGGAUAUGACUGGCUGCCGCAUGGUGGUUGGUGGAAAGAUUUUUCGGCUUGGGAUGGACUCGCGGCCUAUCAGCUUGUUGGUGGGGUAAUGGCCUACCAAGGCGGCGACGGGUAGCCGGCCUGAGAGGGCGACCGGCCACACUGGGACUGAGACACGGCCCAGACUCCUACGGGAGGCAGCAGUGGGGAAUCUUGCACAAUGGGCGGAAGCCUGAUGCAGCGACGCCGCGUGAGGGAUGACGGCCUUCGGGUUGUAAACCUCUUUCAGCAGGGACGAAGCGUUUGUGACGGUACCUGCAGAAGAAGCGCCGGCCAACUACGUGCCAGCAGCCGCGGUAAGACGUAGGGCGCGAGCGUUGUCCGGAUUUAUUGGGCGUAAAGAGCUCGUAGGCGGCUUGUCGCGUCGACUGUGAAAACCCGUGGCUCAACUGCGGGCUUGCAGUCGAUACGGGCAGGCUAGAGUUCGGUAGGGGAGACUGGAAUUCCUGGUGUAGCGGUGAAAUGCGCAGAUAUCAGGAGGAACACCGGUGGCGAAGGCGGGUCUCUGGGCCGAUACUGACGCUGAGGAGC